CGGCCUGGCUUCCCUGCCCUGCUGAAAGCAGAGAGGCUCACAGACGCACAGCUGGGAGGACUGUAUUUGUGGCGUCCGCAAGCUAAAUUUGAGAACCUGGAGCAGCCGGGCCAACUGCAGGCUCUGUAGCCGGAGACACACUGGAUACGUGAACCCUAACAACACAGCAGAGUAAGGAAAAGCUUAGAUGAAGAGGUGCCAGAAAUGGUACAAAACAGAAAGAUGCAAAGCAGCUUCCCAUUCAGCAGGGAUAAGGAAACAGACCCCAGGGGGUUUAUUUAUACAGAGGAUUGUGCUAUUCUUGGCACCCAGAAGGAGUCCUCUCUCAGCAGUGAGUGGGGACGUGGUUUAAGCACACGGCUACAGUUGGGAAGGCCGUGUGCAGCAGCAGAGUACCCGCCGACACGUCAUUCACCAUGUAAAGGAGCCACUCCCUUCUGAGAGCGGAGAGACUUACCUGCCCGUGUGGUUGUCUACACCCUAAGCCAAGGGCACCUUGACAGAAGCCCUUCAGCAGUUUGUUUCAGCAUAACCAAGAACUGGAGAUGAUACAUGUUUUUAAAGGAGAAGGAGAAUGAGAAGGAGGAGGAAGAGGAAAAGGAAAAGGAGGAGGAAGAGGAAGAGGAGGAAGAAGAGGAAGAGGAAGAGGAGGAGAAGGAGGAGGAGGAGGAGGAGGAGGAAGAAGCAGCACCAGCAGCUGGGCUCAGCAGCACACUUCUGUAAUCCCAGCCCAGGGGAGGCAGAAACAGGAGGAUCCCCUGGGGCUGGCUGGACAGCCAGUCUCUGAGUCUGCAGGCUCCAGGCUCAGUGAGAGACCCUGUCUCAAAGAGUAAGGGGGAGAGUGAUUGAAAAAGAUGCCCAAUGUCAAUGUCUGACCUCCACAUACAUGUGCACACACUCAAACACACUUCAUCACACACACACAAGCAAACAACAAAGAAAGACAACUUCGUCUUUUAGUGAGAUUCUAGCAUGCUGACUUAAUAAGAGAAAGAUAAGGACUCCAGGAAGGAGGGUCACCAGGUGUGAUAGACUUAACUCCCACACUCCCACAGCCUGCAGGACCCAGUGGGGACAGCAGCAUCUUGGACCCUAACCACCUGUGCUCUAAUUCAAAGACAAAGAUAUUUCCCAACUUGCCCAAGGCUCUGGCCAAGAAGACUCGGAUCCCCAAGCUCAGGUCAUUCUAGUGGGGCAAGAACCAGCUGGGUUUUCAGCUAUGUGGAUGGAGCCAUCUGUUUUGCUUGCCCACAUAAAAAAUAUGCACAAGGAGUGUGCAAAUCAGCAAAUCCACAGCUUCCAAAGGACCCAGCUGCGAUGCGCCCUCCCUUUGGGGACUAAUGAAAGGUAAAUCCAGUGUCAAAAGACGGAGGGCCAGCAGUAAGGCUAAGGAACCAACAAAUCAAACUCCAUCAUCUCUCCCUUGCUUUUGCCUGGAAUGCAGUCCAUCUGGCUCCCUAGCCACAUGGCCAUUGUGCUUGUGCGAGGGGCGCUGUGGUGCAUGCCGAGUGCCCGGAAAAUUACCAGCAGCCUCCUGCCUCUCCCACCACAGGCACCAGGAGCAGAUCACAUAAGAACUCCCUUCUCUGAUGCUCUUUGGUCUGCUGACUGCCUGGUUCACCCUCAGUCCUUCGUAUAAUGAGCCUGCUCCUGCUCAUCUAGGAAAACAUAUUUCAACCUGGUCAUCUGCUUGCCUGUGUGGUUUUCCCUGUUAAGAGAGUUCUGCACAAGAAAUGCCCAGAAGCCUUAACAAUGGUGGAAUGAAAGGCCUCUCCUCCGACCACAUACAGUUGUGCUCAACAGGAGCCAAGCAGAAGCACACCCGACGCUGUCAGCAGAAGCAGGACAUCUGCGCAGUACAGGCACACAGGAUUGGCAGCCCCUCCCUGGACUCAGAAUGCCACUUCCCUUGCUGGGACCUUGGUCUUUGCUUUCCCCACUAAGGUCUGUAUCGCUUAUUCCUGAGAAGCAGGAAAGUCUCAGAGUGAUGGGCUCCAGUCACGUGGAGAAAUAGAAACAGGAAAUUACAUGCAUGUCCCACUGAUGCCGCCAAAUCACGACCUACGGCAGGUGCCUGGAUUUGUCUGUGUUUGUGUGUUGGGUGUGACGUUCCUCUUCCUCUAAGCCUUCUCUCGGCUUUUCGGGUCCCCAGAAGCACGGGUAAAUGAAACAGAGAUGAGCUUGGCGUUGGAAAUGAAAUUCACCCCAGAAAGGAAGAGAAACACCAAGACAGCUGAGACCUGUGCAGGGAAAGCAUCCUUGUCUAACAGCCACGUUGCUACUUGGAAGUCUAUGUUUUACAGCUCUCUCUCUCUUCUCUUUCUCCAUGUGACUCAAUGGGGAGUCGAAGUUUCCAGGAUCUGAAACUGUAUGGAAAUAAUGUGGAAAUAAUUUGGCUUGCUUGUAGAAGUUAAUCAGCCAGGCAACACUUCUUGAUAAACAGAAGUACCAGUAAGUAUUGUCAAUUUUGUGGCCACACAGACAUCAAGGCAGCUAUUCAACUCCACCUCUGGCCCACAAAAGCAACCGUUUGUAGACCAUGCAUUACAAAAUGAGUGAAGAAGUACAUGCUGCCAGGAGCCUGAUAUAGCUGUCUCCUGAGAGGCUCUGCCAGAGCCUAACAAAUACAGAGGUGGAUGUUCCCAGCCAACCAUCGAACUGAGAAUGGGGUCCCCCAUGGAGGAGUUAGAGGAAGGAUUGAAGGAGCUGAAGGGGCUUGCAACCCCAUAAGAACAACAAUACCAACCAACCAGAGCUCCCAGGGACUAAACCACCAUCCAAAGAGUACACAUGGACAGACCCAUGGCUCUAGCUGCAUAUGUAGCAGAGGAUGGCCUUGCUGGGCAUCAAGGGGAGGAAAGGCCCUUGGUCCUAUGAAGGCUUGAUGUCCCAGUGUAGGGGAAUGCCAGGGCGGGGAGGCAGAAGGGAGUGGGAAGGUGGGCGGGGGAGCACCCUCAUAGAAGUAGGGGGAAUCAGGAAUGGGAUAGGGGGUUUCCAGAGGGAAACUGGGGAAGAGGAUAACAUUUGAAAUGUAAAUAAAGAAAAUAUCCAAUA